CUUCCUCUUACGCGAGGGAAAGUCGGGAACAUUCGUCUUACAUCUCUCAACUGCGAUCUCAUCAAAUCUCACCGCCACGAUAGAGCCGAGACAUUCCUCUACUGAUUGAUCAAGGCGUCAGAAAUUCAGUGAGGUCGAUUACCCAUUCGGAGAAAGCUAUCAGUACCGACCUCAAGUCCCGUUCAAAUCGUUCGAUGAACGUCUCCAAAGAAGCCGUCGGUUAUUCUCCAGUACGGUUCCGGCCAUCGGAGGUUAUUCUCGCCGUUAUCAUAAUCACGAAGCCUCUAUCGGCGAUGUGUUGUGGAAAGAGGAGAUAUACAGCUAUAAAAGAUGCAGGCGAGAUGGAAACUGGAUUAUUCUUUCUUCUGGGGUUUGUCUUCCCACCUUUGUGGUACUAUGCUACGUUUCUUUAUUUCGGGAACUAUUACCGCAGAGAUCCUAGAGAAAGAGGACUAUGGUCGUAGAGGUAGAUACUAUAUAGUCUGGAGCAGAUGACUGAAGAUGUAGAAUUAACGCCGGAAAUGUGGUGCAGAGUAACUAUAUAUGCUAUCAUAGCUACAAUUUAAUGUUUCUUAUACCAUUCGCUGUUUUGUCCUAAAUUUAAUACAUUUAAGUUAUAAAAUAUAUAUUUUCAAAAAACUACAACACAAAACCAUUAUAAAAAAUAAAAAUAAUACAUCAUGGAUUUCAUAAUAAAAAAAAUAACAAUCAUUAGUUUAUCAAAUAAAGUUUAUGAAGAAAUUAAAGAAUAGGAAAUUAAACUAUUUCAUCUAAUUCAUAAAAAUAUAAAUUAUUCAAAGUUUCAAAUGUGAAUGAAAAAACACAUCAUACCAUUUAUAAGUUUAAAAUAGACAUGAAAAAAUAUUAAA